AACGAACGCUGGCGGCAUGCCUAACACAUGCAAGUCGAACGAGACCUUCGGGUCUAGUGGCGCACGGGUGCGUAACGCGUGGGAACCUGCCCUUAGGUUCGGAAUAACUCCCCGAAAGGGGUGCUAAUACCGGAUAAUGUCUUCGGACCAAAGAUUUAUCGCCUUUGGAUGGGCCCGCGUUGGAUUAGCUAGUUGCUAGCGUAAAAGCCUACCAAGGCGACGCUCCAUAGCUGGUCUGGGAGGAGGAUCAGCCACACUGGGACUCAGACACGGCCCACUCUCGUCCGGAACGCUGCAGUGGGGAAUAUUGGAGAAUGGGCGAAAGCAUGAGCCAGCAAUGUCGCGUGAGUGAUGAAGGCCUUAGGGUUGUAACGCUCUUUUACACGGGAUGAUAAUGACAGUACCGGGAGAAUAAGCCCCGGCUAACUCCGUG
rnacentral:rRNA from 1 species